rnacentral:rRNA from 1 species
UACGAAGGGAGCUAGCGUUGUUCGGAAUCACUGGGCGUAAAGCGCACGUAGGCGGAUUUGUCAGUCAGGGGUGAAAUCCCGGGGCUCAACCUCGGAACUGCCUUUGAUACAGCAAGUCUUGAGUUCGAGAGAGGUGGGUGGAAUUCCUAGUGUAGAGGUGAAAUUCGUAGAUAUUAGGAAGAACACCGGUGGCGAAGGCGGCCCACUGGCUCGAUACUGACGCUGAGACGCGAAAGCGUGGGGAGCGAACAGG